rnacentral:ncRNA from 1 species
AGGAGCCGUAUGAGGUGAAGAUCUCAUGUACGGUUCUGUAGAGUGGCUGUAAGGGUGAGUUAUCUGUCAACUUUUCC